GAUGAAGAACUUAGCGAAAUGCGAUAAGUAAUGUGAAUUGCAGAAUUCAGUGAAUCAUCGAAUCUUUGAACGCACAUUGCGCCCGCCAGCACUCUGGCGGGCAUGCCUGUUCGAGCGUCAUUUCAACCAUCAAGCCCCCAGGGGCUUGUGCUGGGGCCCUGCGGCUGCCCGCAGGCCCUGAAAACCAGUGGCGGGCUCGCUAGUCACACCGAGCGCAGUAGCACAUCUCGCUCAGGGCGUGCGGCGGGCUCCUGCCGUGAAACCCCCCACUGUAACCCCAAAGGUUGACCUCGGAUCAGGUAGGAAUACCCGCUGAACUUAAGCAUAUCAAUAAGCGGAGGA
rnacentral:misc_RNA from 1 species